CCUUUUAAAUUGGAAAAAGAUAGAUUAUUCAACAAUUGGUGCUGGGAAAAGUGAAUAUCCACAUGCGAAAGAGUGAAAUUGGACCCUUACAUUAAGCCAUAUAUAAAAUUUAAAUCAAAAUGUACCAAAGACUAAAUUUAAAAGCUACAGCUAUAAAACUCUUAGAGGAAAAUGUGGAGAUAAAUCUUCAUAACCUUAGAUUUGACAGUGGUUUCUUAAGCAUGACACCAGGAGCACAGACAACAAAGAGUAAAGUGGACUUCUGAAAGUAAAAAUUUGUGCUUCAAAGAACACUUUGAAGAGAGUGAGAAGACAGCCCACAAAAUGGGAGAAAAUAUUUGUAAAUCAUAUACCUGAUAAGGACUUAACACCAGAAUACAAAAUCAAUAUGUAAAAAUCAGUUGUAUGUCUGUUCACUAACAAUUCCUGCAGCUUAACAACAGAAAGACGAUGAAAUUAAGCAAUGGACAAAGGACUUUAGUAGACAUUUCUCUGAGGAAGA